UACGUAGGGUGCGAGCGUUAAUCGGAAUUACUGGGCGUAAAGCGUGCGCAGGCGGUUCGUUAUGUCCGAUGUGAAAGCCCCGAGCUCAACUUGGGAAUGGCAUUGGAAACUGGCGGGCUGGAGUGUGGCAGAGGGGGGUGGAAUUCCACGUGUAGCAGUGAAAUGCGUAGAGAUGUGGAGGAACACCGAUGGCGAAGGCAGCCCCCUGGGCCAACACUGACGCUCAGGCACGACAGCGUGGGGAUCAAACAGG
rnacentral:rRNA from 1 species